GUAAGUUUCGUCUAUAUAAUUACACAAAUAGUACAUUAAAGUGUUUCUGACACUUUAUUUCAUGUAAAUGAUACGCUUCCGUUUAAUAUUUACUUUAUAGAAAUGGUUUAGUGUCGUCAGAAAAAGUCCGUUAGCAUCUCCACUGUAAGGCUAACUACAAGAGGUUCUUCCAUGCUGAUGGCUGUGCUCUAGAGUCAUAUCUCCUGUCGAAGAACAUUUUUAGACAUUAUGAACCAUGAAAAAGUUUAGCUCCAACCCCAGUUAAGCAGCUGAUCAAGGAUCACCAGAAACUCUGCAGAACGUUGGUCCUCCAGCCCAGGACUGGACACCAGUGUUAGUGUCUGUCUCAGAAGCUGAAGAAAAGAGGCCACACCUCAGAGGAAAUAAGCGCCCCCUAAGUGUACAGAAAUAAGAUCAGUGACAAACCAGAUAAAACUUCUCAGUGGUCUAAGACAGCUACAAUGAAGCCACAAAUGCAGUUCAUAGUUCCUGUAUUUCUAUAAUGCAUUAAUG
ensembl:lncRNA